CCCUUAGAUGUUCUGGGCCGCACGCGCGCUACACUGUUGCAUUCAACGAGUCUAAAACCUGCUCUGAUAGGGGUGGGUAAUCUUUUGAAUGUGCAUCGUGAUUGGGAUAGAUGAUUGCAAUUUUUCAUCUUCAACGAGGAAUGCCUAGUAAACGCAAGUCAUCAGCUUGCAUUGAUUACGUCCCUGCCCUUUGUACACACCGCCCGUCGCUCCUACCGAUUGAAUGAUCCGAUGAAUAUCAUGGAUUGAGGAUGCAAGUAGGUUCGCCUAUCUUCAUCUUCGAGAAGUGAAGUAAAUCUUAUCAUUUAGAGGAAGGAGAAGUCGUAACA
rnacentral:rRNA from 1 species